rnacentral:misc_RNA from 1 species
UUUCCGUAGGUGAACCUGCGGAAGGAUCAUUAUUGUAAAACGGAGGAGCGUGGGUUUUCGCUGACCCGUAAGGCUGUGCACGAACGAGAGCCUUCAUACAUCUCCAUAUCACCCCUAUGCGCACCACAGCGCGGGUCCCCCUCUUUCUUGGUAGGAGGGGGGCUUACGUAUUCACAAAAAUACAACUUGCAACAAAGAAUGUCUUUUUUGUUUUUGCGAUCAAGAAAUCAACACAACUUUCAACAACGGAUCUCUUGGCUCUCGCAUCGUCGAAGAACG